GUGCCUAAUACAUGCAAGUCGAGCGAGCGGAACCAACAGAUUUACUUCGGUAAUGACGUUGGGAAAGCGAGCGGCGGAUGGGUGAGUAACACGUGGGGAACCUGCCUCUAAGUCUGGGAUACCAUUUGGAAACAGGUGCUAAUACCGGAUAAUAAAGCAGAUCGCAUGAUCAGCUUUUGAAAGGCGGCGUAAGCUGUCGCUAAGGGAUGGCCCCGCGGUGCAUUAGCUAGUUGGUAAGGUAACGGCUUACCAAGGCGACGAUGCAUAGCCGAGUUGAGAGACUGAUCGGCCACAUUGGGACUGAGACACGGCCCAAACUCCUACGGGAGGCAGCAGUAGGGAAUCUUCCACAAUGGACGCAAGUCUGAUGGAGCAACGCCGCGUGAGUGAAGAAGGUUUUCGGAUCGUAAAGCUCUGUUGUUGGUGAAGAAGGAUAGAGGUAGUAACUGGCCUUAAUUUGACGGUAAUCAACCAGAAAGUCACGGCUAACUACGUGCCAGCAGCCGCGGUAAUACGUAGGUGGCAAGCGUUGUCCGGAUUAAUUGGGCGUAAAGCGAGCGCAGGCGGAAAAAUAAGUCUAAUGUGAAAGC
rnacentral:rRNA from 1 species